GGAUGCAAGUGUUAUUCGGAAUGAUUGGGCGUAAAGAGUCUGUAGGCGGUUUAGAAAGUCUUUUGUGAAAUACUUCAGCUCAACUGAGGCUCCGCAAAAGAAACUUCUAGACUUGAGGAAAGUAGAGGUACAGGGAAUUUCCGGUGGAGCGGUGAAAUGCGUAGAUAUCGGAAGGAACACCAAUAUGGCGAAGGCACUGUACUGGGCUUUUCCUGACGCUCAGAGACGAAAGCUGAAGGAGUGAUUAGGAUUAGAUACCCUAGUAAUUUCAGCCGUAAACGAUGAAAACUCACUGUCGAGCCAAUAUAUGGAGCGGUGGUCAAGCUAACGCGUGAAGUUUCCCGCCUGGGGAUUACGCUUGCAAAAGUGAAACUCAAAGGAAUUGACGGGGACCCGCACAAGCGGUGGAGUAUGUGGUUUAAUUCGAUGCAACGCGAAAAACCUUACCAGGGUUUGAAAUAAUUUCAAAACUUCUUGAAAGAGAAGCCUCCUUCGGGAUGGAAUUACAGGUGGUGCAUGGCUGUCGUCAGCUCGUGUUGUGAAAUGUCAAGUUAAGUCUUGUAACGAGCGCAACCCAUGUCUCUUGUUGCUGUUUACAGUGCUUAAGAGAAACUGCCGAUCAACAUCGGAGGAAGGUGUGGAUGAUGUCAAGUCAGCAUGCCCCUUACAUCCUGGGCUACACACGUACUACAAUGGUCGAGACAAAGGGUCGCUAACCUGCAAAGGCAUGCCAAUCUCAUAAACUCGAUCUCAGUUCGGAUUGUACUCUGCAACUCGAGUACAUGAAGGUGGAAUCGCUAGUAAUCGCUGGUCAGCAUACAGCGGUGAAUACGUUCCCGGGUCUUGUACACACUGCCCGUCACACCAUGGAAGUCGACCCUUCCCUAAGUCGUUACUCGAACCUGUAAAGGACGAGGACGCCGAAGGCAGAGUU
rnacentral:rRNA from 1 species